GCUGUGCCUCGGCCCUGCGCUCCCCGCCCGCGGAGCCGCUCCAGCUUUUGUCUCCGUACGCUGCCUUCUUCCUUUCUCUCUUUCCAAACUUUUGAGCGCUCACUCUGAGCUGUAUUUAUAGAGCUGGAGCCCACGGCUGUAUUUUUCCUUGUGCCUCCUUUGGCUUGGGCUGAAGUCACUGGCAGGGAAAAUAAGAAGGAGGCAGGCGGGCGGGCAGACGAGCGAGAGGACAGAAGGGAAAAAGAGCCUGAGUCCCGCAGACGGGACCUGGAGGGAGUCCGGGGUAGGCGGCGGAACGUGCGGGACCCUUUUCCCGCUGACGAGCGAGAGCAUCCAGACGGACCGGUUUAUUUAAAACAAGUGAACUCCUUGGUAACGCACGAGCAGAUGAUGCCCCGCGCACGUACGGAGCCUCCGCGUACCCCGUGUAUGUGCGGACCCGCGGCUGUCCCGCGACUCUGCGCCUCGAAGUGCCGGCACCGAGCGGGGCUGCAAAAUACAACCAGCGCUACUGAAAGAACGGCGAGAAAGCAGGGGGCGAGCAGUGGGGCAUUCCUCGCAAAAGCGUCCCCAGCCUCGCUCAACAAACAACUCCUCCGCCAAAACACUAAAUAUGAAGUAGGAAACCCGCAAACAAAACGAGAGGGAUACUGCGGG
ensembl:lncRNA